rnacentral:lncRNA from 1 species
GACAGGGAAGAAAGGGGGCAUUAACACCCAUCUCCAAUUCACCUAUGCACAAAAACUGAAGAUCACUGAGGUUAAGUAACUGGCUGAAAGUUGCAUGUGUUAUUUUUUGGACAAACUGAGAAGUGAUCGGGGUCUUUUGAUGACUAGUCAACUCACAAGAUUAUCUUUGACCAAGUAGAUAGACCAUCCUGGACACAUCCUAGAGCCUUGCUACACAAAGGAGAGGUGAGAACAGCAGCAAUACCAUCACCUGGAAACUCAUUAGAAAUGCAGAUUCUCAGGCUACCCAGGACCUCCUGAAUCACACCUGGCAUUUUAACUAGCUUUCCAGAUGGUUCAGAUGGAUGUUGAAGUUUGAGAAGCACCACCCUAGAGGAACUUCAAAAGACUGUCAGUUCUUGUCAUUUAAAUAUUCGCUCAUUUAUUCACUGUUUUUCACUCAGCAAACAUUUAUAGUAAGGCUUCUAUGUGCAAACACUGCAGGGUAUGAAUACAGUAUAAUCCCUGCAUCAUGGGAUGCAGUCUAGUGGCGCAGUUUGAUGCUGCCCCAAACUUGAUCCAAGACACCAAACCUGUUAUGCAAGGGACAGGGAAGAAAGGCGGCAUUGAUACGCGUCUCCAAGUUCUCCAAGUCACUGUGUACAAAAAUACCAUCUGCUUGUUAAAACAAUCAAAGUCACAGACAGGCCUGGAGUCAGACCAGCCCUGUUUCUCUCUUUGCCCAGGGAAGGGACCUCAGGCAAACUGCCUCCUUUUGAUGAAUCCCACCUAAAAAAAUAAAGUCUUGGACUUCAGGAACAUCCAGAUUCUUCCCAGCAGCUCUCUUCAUUUCUUCCUAACUCUUCUGGUUUUAUUCAUUCACUUGGCAAAUAUUUGAGUGACACUAUCUGCUGGGGAUUGCUUCAGUGCUGGGGACAUUGGUGACAAGAUAAAUGAGGCCCUAUCAGCCAGCAAUAAGUACCACACUGAGCACUGAGACAGGGUAAUGAGAUCUGGCAUUGCUGGGUGGCUGCUUUCCAUUGGAUGGUCAGGGAGGCUUCUUGGAGGAACAGGAUUUAACUUGAGGCCAAAACGGCACAAGGGUAGAGCCAUAUAAAACUAAGGAGAAACCAUUUUAGGAUGAGGGAACAAACCCUGAAGGUGUGAACAAGCUCGGUGCAUCUAGACAUGUAAGGAAGGUUCCAGCAUGUGAAGGAGCGAGGACGGAGAAGGGUCCGGUGAGGUCUUACAGCAACAGAGGGUCCAGCCACAUGAGGCUGAGCAGCCAAGUGAUCUGCCUAGGCCAGCUCCCCUUCAUCUUCUGCCAUGAGUGGAAGCAGCCUGAGGCCCUCACCAGAAGCAGAUGUUGGCACUAUGCUUCUUAGACAGCCUGCAAAACUCUGGGAAAGCGGAAAUCUGGAGAACUAAAAUAUCUUGCUGAAGAUCACAAUGCAGUAAAGCAUAGGGCAAGUUUCCAACUCGAACAUCACCCCAGAACACUUCCUUUUAAACAUAAAUUAUGUUGCUAACUUUUUUAUUGUUACUUAGCAGGCAGAUUUCAAACUGAUACAAAUGUUGAAAAUGAUACAAAAUGUUUUCCCACCUUAAAGGCAUUCUGAAACCUAGCACAUAACAUCUGUCACUGAAGUCCAUAGUUUCCAAUGCCAUGAUUGGAUAAAGACCCUAUUGAGACUCAUGUGUUUGUCUCUCACUGCUUAAAACACUCAUGUGUUUUAAGCAACAUGACAAGCACAAAAGAGAACAAGUACUGCUCCUGCUCUCCAGGAAGUUACCAUAAAAUAAAGGGGAUAAGGUGCCUUCCAAAGAAAAAACAAAUACUAGGAGAGGUCAGAGGAGAAGAGAGAUUAUUCCAGAAGGAGAGACUGAGGCAGAUUUCAGGAGGGAAGAAUAUAAGAGUCCCAAAAGAAGAAACAGGAACCCAGGUUAGAGAGCAAUGGGCAAGGGGUAGGAGGUGAGACUAAACUCACAAGGAAGUUGCUUCAAAACAAUAGUGCCCCAAAUGCCAAGCUGAUGGGUUGGACCCAUUUAGGAAAAACCCACAAAGUCCACAGGAGAGCAGACUGCACUUCCAUGAGCUUCAAGCUGUAAACAGUAACCUCAAAUAAAACUUUUCCCGGAUCGGUAAUUUCCAUCCUGAACAAUGGCCAAGUCAAGGAAGCUGAGGAUCGAGCCCCCUACCGCAUGCCACAAAGAACCUCAAGGGACCCCAUGCUCUGGGGAGCUCGCAGGAGGACCAGCACAGAGGUGUGACUGCGUUGGGGCAGGGUGGCCACAUGUACAAUGUUGUACCUUCCAAUGUUCCUCCUUAGGCUGUGCUUAUGAAGUCCCAACAUGUCUUCUGGGCUGUGUUUUCAACCAAGAGAGUUAAUAAAAAGUGGGAUGGGCACCAACUAUGCCUCCAGAGACAUCAGGCAGAAUAUGCCACAGCGUGCCAUGUCCUCCUGCAAACAGUCAGAAAGAAAAGAUCUCUAAAAGCAGAUUGGAAGAGACUAUAUAUACAGAGCGAGUGCCGGUACAGAAGUUUUGCUGCAAAUACACCCUCUAAUCCCUUGCAACCCACUGCAAGCUCGAGAGACCAGUGCCCUUGGUAAAACAUAGGAGAGAUCAUUAAUUAAAGCCUAGGCCCUUUCUUUGAUCCUGAGGGAUAAGGCUUGGGAAAAUGCACAGUGAUAAAAGUGAACAUUUUAAAAGAGCAGAGUGAGUGUGAAUUCCCAAAGAGACCAUUCAUAUCAAGACCCAAGCCAUGAGAAAAUGCUACAAUGCCCUUGAUCAAUACUUUAUAGGCAUUUUGACCUCAGAUCUAAUCCCAUGAGGCUUAGACCAAGACCUUGCUUGAUGCAGACCUCUCUGACUGCUGAAAUUGGUCAGGAGCUCAGUGAUGAAAAUUUGGAAAGUCAAUGCUGAUACCUGAAGAAAGUCCCAUCAGAGAUCUGUGACCUGAAUCUUCAUAACUUUCACAGGCCCUUUCUAAAUGCCAAGGAGGAUGUGUGUGGAGAAGAAUAUGCCACCUAUGGCAUCCCAAUAUGCCUGUGCCCGCCUGCUCUUCAACAAGGGAAUGAAACCUGGGUAUUCUCAUAGGUUUUUUAAAGCACUUGUCCACAUAUUUUAUUCCGCAAAUAACACAAUUUAAAAUUCAGCUAGAAUUUGCCAUUUUCUGUCAGGGUUGUGCAUUUCUUCCAGUCACCAUGACUUCCUGAGAUAGCCAAAACACAAAAUUUAAAUUGUGUUUAAAUUAAAUAAACACAAUUUAUGCUGAAGCUGACUUUACCCACUCUGUUCCAACAUUACUUAUCCUCAGCAUCUCUGAAUUCAAAUAUCAGCCAGGUGUGGUGGCUCAUACCUGUAAGCCCAGCACUUUGGCAAGCCAAGAUGGGAAGGUUGCUUGAGGAGUUGGAGACCAGCCUGGGCAACAUAGCAAGACCCCCAUCUCUACAAAAAAAUUAAAAAAUUAGCCAGGCAUGGUGGUAUGCACCUUUAGUCCUAGCUACUUGGGAGGCUGAGGUGAGAAGAUCACUUGAGCCCAGGAGCUUGAGGUGGCAGUGAGUCAUGAUCAUACCACUGCACUGUAGCCUGAGCAACAGAGCAAGACCCCAUCCCUUAAAAAAAAUACCUGCCCUCUGUACUUCAUAGCACCUGGGGCAUUUUGAACAGUUCUUCCUUCACCUGAGGUCAUUAUUUGAGAAUCCAAUUUUAGAGACUACAAUGCUCUCAUUACUUGGAUUGUAUCAUUUAAUCUUCCCAACAAUCCAGGAAGGGGAGUCUCUUAAUGAUUGUCCUUGAUUUCCAGUUAAAAAAUCUAGACCCAGAGGUAACCUUGUGAAGGUCACAGAGUUUCAGAGUUCUAAGAUCCCAUGCGAGAUUGCUGAACUUGAACUUGUUUCUUCUGAUCUCAUGUCAAUAAGUGACUUAGUCAACACCUGGGUAGAAAUCAUCACUAAAGUGAGAAAGCACAUGGUGAGGGGGAUGAAUCCUGUGCCCACAUGGUCCCUUUCACCUGCCCAAUCCUCAGGCCUCUCACCUGGGGUACCCCUCACACACAUGGCACUUUCCUGAACUCAUGGACAUUUCAGUUUGUAACGAUCCUCCUAAGAUUAUCUACUUUCACCUAUCCACAUUUGAACUAUACUUCUUUAGUGGAAAAAAAGAAAUAAAGCCAGUGCUGAGAAUGAUCAAACUCCAGAAA